AGGCAGGUGGUGAGUGCUUGACAUUCGACCAGCUUGCCUUGAGGGCUCCUCUUGGACAGAAUACGGUUCUUCUUCGUGGACCAAAGAACUCUCGUGAAGCUGUGAAGCACUUUGGUCCGGCUCCUGGUGUGCCUCACAGCCACACAAAACCGUACGUUAGGUCGAAGGGAAGGAAGUUUGAGAGAGCAAGAGGAAAGAGAAACAGCAGGGGAUUCAGAGUUUAAUUUGAGUAUAUGUUCAAUCCUUUUUUUGAGACGAAAAAUUCACGUUUUGCUAGACUUGCAGAAAUAUUAUUAUGUGAGACUCGGUCAUGUCUUAGUACAAGUUUUCCUUCUUAUAAAAUCAAAAUCGGAUCCAGUGAAAGAUAUUGUUUCAAGACUUCGCAG
rnacentral:misc_RNA from 1 species